rnacentral:lncRNA from 1 species
CUGAGUUUUAACAAAACAGAUGAAAGACUUAAGCAGGGAAAAAGCAUUGCUUUUAGAUCCCAUUAAGUGUGUCCAGGUUGCCCUAGAAAAAUCAUCAUCUAUAGUAAGGAAGUAUCUAUAACUAGAAGAAGUAGAAGUGUGGUAAGGCCCCCAAGUAUCCAUAUGUAUUAAUUGAAAUGAUCUAGUAGUACUGAUAUUGCUAUCAGGAAAAGGGAGUCUGGUUUGUUUGGCCAUAGGACAGACAGAACAAGGAAAAGGUUGGUCUAGUAGUACUGAUACUGCUAUCAGGAAAAGGGAGUCUGGUUUGUUUGGCCAUAGGACAGACAGAACAAGAAAAAGGUUGUUUAGAAGCAAGUGGAAAGGACAAACUAGAGAUAUGUCUCAUAUUUGCAAAAGAAGUAUGUGCUAGUCUUAAAUGCCAAAUGUAAUUCAUAUUAGUGGUAACAGCAUACAAAUGGAAUUAUCUACAAUUGGAGGCAAGGCAACAAUUUUGCUGUCAGACACAUUGUCAUCAUUUCAAAAAUCAGACAAACACAUACAGAGGUAAAUGAAGAACCAGGAGAGGAAGAAGGGGUAGGUGGCACCCAAGACAGUUUGUAUAGGCCAGCUUCCUCUUUACCAAGAUCCAGAGGCCUCUUCAGAGAAGGGUCCUGUAUCAUGUGAAGUAAACAGGAAGUUGGAGUAAACAAAACUAUACAGCGCAAUUGUUUUACCAACUUGUGAACAGAAAUAAAGUUGUGUUUAAAGGAAGAACCAGAAGCACAUUGUGAAGAGUAAGGGAAGAAGUUAAUGCAAAAGAACCUGUACAAGUUACUUUCACUUUGUAACCAUUAGGAAAAGUUACAAGAUAAGGAACAGUCAAAGGUAUGAUGUUAAAGAGUAAGUUUUUAUCAUGUGUCAUAUGAUUAGAUGCCCCUGAAUCUAUGAUCCAGGUGACAGAAUUAAUGUGUGUAAGCAUGCAUAAUUUGGAAUCAAAAACAAGACUCUCAGUCAACAUAGUACCAACAAAAUUAGCAGCACAUAUGAGAGGAGGAGCUUGAUCACUGGAAUCCCCUAACUUGGUCUGUUGCAACAAGCUCAUCAAUUGAU